GACUACAGGGGUAUCUAAGCCUGUUUGAUCCCCACGCUUUCGUGCCUCAGUGUCAAUAUAUCCGUAGUAAGCUGCCUUCGCAAUUGGUGUUCUAUGUCAUAUCUAAGCAUUUCACCGCUACAUGACAUAUUCCGCUUACCUCCAGAUAAUUCAAGAUCUAUAGUAUCAAUGGCAGUUUCCGAGUUAAGCUCGGAGAUUUCACCACUGACUUACAAACCCACCUACGCACCCUUUAAACCCAGUAAAUCCGGAUAACGCUUGCACCCUCCGUAUUACCGCGGCUGCUGGCACGGAGUUAGCCGGUGCUUAUUCCUCUGGUACCGUCAAGUGAGUAAGAAUACCCUUUUUUCGUCCCAGAUAAAAGAAGUUUACAACCCAGAGGGCCUUAAUCCUUCACGCGGCAUGGCUGGUUCAGACUUUCGUCCAUUGACCAAUAUUCCUUACUGCAGCCCCCCGUAGG
rnacentral:rRNA from 1 species